rnacentral:rRNA from 1 species
GAAGGGGGCUAGCGUUGUUCGGAAUUACUGGGCGUAAAGCGCACGUAGGCGGAUCGAUCAGUCAGGGGUGAAAUCCCGCAGCUCAACUGCGGAACUGCCUUUGAUACUGUCGGUCUAGAGUAUGGAAGAGGUGAGUGGAAUUCCGAGUGUAGAGGUGAAAUUCGUAGAUAUUCGGAGGAACACCAGUGGCGAAGGCGGCUCACUGGUCCAUUACUGACGCUGAGGUGCGAAAGCGUGGGGGGCAAACAGGAUUAGAUACCCUGGUAGUCCACGCCGUAAACGAUGAAUGUUAGCCGUCGGCAAGUUUACUUGUCGGUGGCGCASSUAACGCAUUAAACAUUCCGCCUGGGGAGUACGGUCGCAAGAUUA